rnacentral:lncRNA from 1 species
UGAAAGUCUUGUGUGUCCUGGAUCUCCUACUCAGGACUUUUGUCCUUCUAGGUCUGUGCUUUUAAUAGGACUGUCUCCAAAGUUGAUGAUUUCUUGGCCAAUGAGGCAAAGGGAACCAAAGUGGUGGGUGCCCAGUCCCUGAAAGAGAUGGUCUCCAAGCUGAAGAAGCCCCGGCGGAUCAUCCUCCUGGUGAAGGCUGGGCAAGCUGUGGAUGAUUUCAUCGAGAAAUUGGUACCAUUGUUGGAUAC